rnacentral:rRNA from 1 species
AUUGAACGCUGGCGGCAGGCCUAACACAUGCAAGUCGCGCGGAUGAAGGUAGCUUGCUAUCUGAUUCAGCGGCGGACGGGUGAGUAAUGCCUAGGAAUCUGCCUGGUAGUGGGGGACAACGUUUCGAAAGGAACGCUAAUACCGCAUACGUCCUACGGGAGAAAGUGGGGGAUCUUCGGACCUCACGCUAUCAGAUGAGCCUAGGUACGAUUAGCUAGUUGGUGAGGUAAAGGCUCACCAAGGCGACGAUCGUUAACUGGUCUGAGAGGAUGAUCAGUCACACUGGAACUGAGACACGGGCCAGACUCCUACGGGAGGCAGCAGUGGGGAAUAUUGGACAAUGGGCGAAAGCCUGAUCCAGCCAUGCCGCGUGUGUGAAGAAGGUCUUCGGAUUGUAAAGCACUUUAAGUUGGGAGGAAGGGCAGUAAGUUAAUACCUUGCUGUUUUGACGUUACCAACAGAAUAAGCACCGGCUAACUUCGUGCCAGCCGCCGCCGUAAGAC